rnacentral:sRNA from 1 species
GCCGAGGGCCUGCUGCAGGAGGCGCUAGACAAGGAUAGUGGCUACCCGGAGACGCUGGUCAACCUCAUCGUCCUGUCCCAGCACCUGGGCAAGCCCCCUGAGGUCAGAGCCACCGUGGGGUCCCCGUGUUCGGCUCACCUGCCUCCCUGCCUCCCCUGCAGGUGACAAACCGAUACCUGUCCCAGCUGAAGGACGCCCACAGGUCCCAUCCCUUCAUCAAGGAGUACCAGGCCAAGGAGAACGACUUUGACAGGCUGGUGCUACAGUACGCUCCCAGCGCCUGAGGCUGGCUCAGAGCUGUCAGGACCACGAAGCCAGGACAGAGGCCAGGAGCCCUGCAGCCCUUCCCACCUGGCAUCCACCCCUCUGGGGGCAGGAGCCCACCCUCAGCACCCCCAUCUGUUAAUAAAUAUCUCAACUCCA